AUAAAACUCCAUCAGGCAAACGCCGAAUAACAUUUUCAAGAUGAAUUCCUACUUGUGGGUAGCUUUGGUAGCGGUGUGUCUAAUCGCGGCCUACAUUCAAUGUCCGCACUGCAAUGCGCACCCGCCGCGACAGUAUUUACCAAACCAUCGUUUUUAAUUUUCGUCAUCAAAUAACAUGACAAAGAACUCAUCGAAAGGCCUAAACUUUCAUAAAUAAAAAAUAAAUAUCGAUCUAUUUCAGUUUAAACGCAAAUUAGGAUGAUAUAAUAUAUUAUUGGGGACUAAAA